rnacentral:rRNA from 1 species
UACGUAGGGUGCGAGCGUUGUCCGGAAUUAUUGGGCGUAAAGAGCUCGUAGGCGGUCUGUCGCGUCUGCUGUGAAAUCCCGAGGCUCAACCUCGGGCCUGCAGUGGGUACGGGCAGACUAGAGUGCGGUAGGGGGAGAUUGGAAUUCCUGGUGUAGCGGUGGAAUGCGCAGAUAUCGGGAGGAACACCAGUGGCGAAGGCGGCUUCCUGGCCUGUUCGUUGACGCUGGAGGCGACGAAAGCU